rnacentral:rRNA from 1 species
GACGAACGCUGGCGGCGUGCUUAACACAUGCAAGUCGAACGGAAAGGCCCUGCUUUUGUGGGGUGCUCGAGUGGCGAACGGGUGAGUAACACGUGAGUAACCUGCCCUUGACUUUGGGAUAACUUCAGGAAACAGGGGCUAAUACCGGAUAGGAGCUCCUGCUGCAUGGUGUGGGUUGGAAAGUUUCGGCGGUUGGGGAUGGACUCGCUGGUUAUCAGCUUGUUGGUGGAGUAGUGGCUUACCAAGGCUUUGACGGGUAGCCGGCCUGAGAGGGUGACCGGCAAGAAUACGAAUGAGAUACAGCGCAGACUCCUACAGGAGGAAGUAGUAGAGAAUAUAGCACAAUGACCGGCAGCCUGACGGAGCAACGCCGCGUUCUUGAAAAUAGCGUUCAGGGUGUAAACAGCACUCGCAUGAAUCGAAGCGAGACUGACGGUAAUGGGUAAGAAAGCACCGGCUAACUACGUG